AGUGAACGCUGGCGGUAGGCCUAACACAUGCAAGUCGAACGGCAGCACAGUAAGAGCUUGCUCUUACGGGUGGCGAGUGGCGGACGGGUGAGGAAUACAUCGGAAUCUACUUUUUCGUGGGGGAUAACGUAGGGAAACUUACGCUAAUACCGCAUACGACCUACGGGUGAAAGCUGGGGAUCUUCGGACCUUGCGCGAUUGAAUGAGCCGAUGUCGGAUUAGCUAGUUGGCGGGGUAAAGGCCCACCAAGGCGACGAUCCGUAGCUGGUCUGAGAGGAUGAUCAGCCACACUGGAACUGAGACACGGUCCAGACUCCUACGGGAGGCAGCAGUGGGGAAUAUUGGACAAUGGGCGCAAGCCUGAUCCAGCCAUACCGCGUGGGUGAAGAAGGCCUUCGGGUUGUAAAGCCCUGUUGUUGGGAAAGAAAAGCAGCAGGUUAAUACCCCGCUGUUCUGACGGUACCCAAAGAAUAAGCACCGGCUAACUUCGUG
rnacentral:rRNA from 1 species